GUGCAGGAGCAAGCUGUGGGUGCAGUGAGGCCAUUUUUAGGGGUGUAAGAACAAAGCUUGGGGUGCAGUGAGGAUUGUUUGGGGUUCCACAGUAAGCUUGGGGUGCAGUGAGGCCAUUUUUAGGGGUGUAAGAACAAAGUGUGGGUGCAGUGAGGAUUGUUUAGGGUUCCACAGUAAGCUCGGGGUGCAGUGAGGUGUUUUGGGGUUCCACAGUAAGCUUGGGGUGCAGUGAGGAUUGUCUAGGGUUCCACAGUAAGCUCGGGGUGAGGUGUUUUGGGGUUCCACAGUAAGCUUGGGGUGCAGUGAGGAUUGUCUAGGGUUCCACAGUAAGCUUUGGGUGCAGUGAGGUGUUUUGGGGUUCCACAGUAAGCUUGGGGUGCAGUGAGGAUUGUUUGGGGUUCCACAGUAAGCUUGGGUUGCAGUGAGGUGUUUUGGGGUUCCACAGUAAGCUUUGGGUGCAGUGAGGAUUGUUUGGGGUUCCACAGUAAGCUUUGGGUUGCAGUGAGGUGUUUUGGGGUUCCACAGUAAGCUUGGGUUGCAGUGAGG